AGAUGGGGUGUCCCUGCAGCUCCCCCACCAGUCCUGGCCGAUGGACUCCUGUCAAUUGUCUGAUCUAGGACCAAAACCAAGCUGAACAGUUCAAGGAAAAAAACCCCAAAAGCUGCCAAAGGAUUGCUGUCGCUGCCUUCAAGUCCAGGGAAAAGGAAAAAAAACUUCUUGCCUAAGGUGUCAGCUGUGAUGCAUGUUUAAAAGGAAAUUUUCGAGGUCGCAGAUACAAGUGUUUAAUUUGCUACGAUUACGAUUUGUGUGCAACUUGUUAUGAGAGUGGUGCAACAACAACAAGGCAUACAACUGACCAUCCAAUGCAGUGCAUACUAACAAGAGUAGAUUUUGGCAGGUGCCAAGGGGAUGGUGCCAGAUUGUUCAGUGGUGCCCAGCUACAGGACAAGAAGCAAUGGCCAUAAACUAAAGCACAAGGAGUUCCACCUCAACAUGAGGAAGAACCUCUUUCCAUCGAGGAUGGCAGAGCACUGGAACAGGCUGCCCAGGGAGGGCAUGGAGUCUUCCUCUCUGAAGACAUUCAAAACCCGCCCAGAUGUGUUCCUGUGUAACCUGCUCUAGAUGACCCUGCCUUGGCAGUUUUGGACUAGAUAACCUCCAGAGGUCCCUUCUAAACCUAACAAUUCUGUGAUUGUAGUGUAGAUAUUGUUGUUGAAGUUUUUAUUUUUUUAGUAAUUUUUUUAGCUUUUUGAUUUAAAAAAAGUAUUGAAUAUACACAUUAUGCUAAUUCCUACAUGCAUUUAAAGCUUAAAACAGCUGAAUAUACCAAUAUAUAGCUUCUUUCUCAGAGCUCUCUGAGCAGAGAAGGAUCUCAAUCAUGUUUAAUUCUCCAAUAGCUGCUUGCCCUAAGCCUGCCUUGUAAUGACUUUGAAAUCUGUGCUCUGAGAAUCCAGAGUUUGGAAAGAUAAAUUUAAAUGUACAAAUCUAGUUUUGAAAAUGCUAUCACUGAAGUUUCUAGAUAUUUGGACCCUGGCCCCUCGCAGUCUUACAAGGACAAAAGUAAAAGACUAGAGGCGCUCUUUCCUCUUGGGACGAUCAUUCCACUUUAUUGUGGAACCACUCCAGGGAGGUCCAAGGGAAGCAAAAAGAGAUCAGAGGUCUCUUCCCCAGAGAUUUUAAGCCCGGGAAAGGGGGGCGGAGGAGAGGGGCCACAGCCAAUGGGAUACAAGUGAGGAGAGGGUGAGGGGAGGAGUAGACAAGGUAGAAACCACCACCAAUGGGGCUUAGAGGAGAGGAGAAGACCAUGUGAUAUGAGAGGGGAAUCCCAUGAGGAUACAAACAUACUAUUCAGUGCAAAAUACAAAACCCAGUGUAAAACAACGACUAAAUAAACUAAUUAGUGCAAAACAACACCAAUAUUCCUUCUUAAACUUUACUUUUCUGCUUUUUCACAGGGUA